rnacentral:rRNA from 1 species
GACGAACGCUGGCGGCGUGCUUAACACAUGCCAGUCGAACGGAAAGGCCCUGCUUUUGUUGGGUACUCGAGUGGCGAACGGGUGAGUAACACGUGGGUAACCUGCCCUGUACUUUGGGAUAACUUCAGGAAACUGGGGCUAAUACCGGAUAGGAGCUCCUGCUGCAUGGUGGGGGUUGGAAAGUUUCGGCUGUUGGGGAUGGACGCGCGGCUUAUCAGCGUGUGGGUGGGGUAGGGGCUUACCAAGGCUUUGGCGGGUAGCCGGCGUGAGAGGGUGACGGGACAUAGUGGGAGUGAGACAGGGCCGAGACCCACGUGGGAGGCAGGAGUGGGGAAUAUGGCAAAAUGGGCGGAAGUGUGAUGCAGACACGCCGUGUGCGGGAUGACGGCCUGCGGGUUGUAAACCGCUUUCGCCUGUCACGAAGCGUGAGUGACGGUAACGGGUAAAGAAGCACCGGCUAACUACGUG